rnacentral:rRNA from 1 species
UGCGUAGUGGUGAUGCAAGUCUGGUGUGAAAUCUCGGAGCUCAACUCCGAAAUUGCACCGGAUACUGCGUGACUCGAGGACUGUAGAGGAGAUCGGAAUUCACGGUGUAGCAGUGAAAUGCGUAGAUAUCGUGAGGAAGACCAGUUGCGAAGGCGGAUCUCUGGGCAGUUCCUGCACUGAGGCACGAAGGCCAGGGGAGCAAACG